rnacentral:lncRNA from 1 species
UUUUUUUUUUUUUUUUAACAUUUGAGAGAAUUCAUGCACCAUGACACCAUUUAUGAAAGAAAAUGCACAAAUAAUAUUAUAGAUACUACUAUCUGUAGUUAUAUACAUAAUGAUGGAUAUAUAGAAAAAGAAACAGAACAGGAGCUGACCUAUUAUAACCCCAGGGCCAAAUACAGCCAUUGCCUGGUUUUUAUUUUUUAUUUAUUUAUUUUUAAAUUACAGCACAUGGAAGUUCCUGGGCCAGGGACUGAAACCAAGCCACAGCUGCAACCUACACUGCAGCUGCAGUAAUGCCAGAUCCUUUAAUCCACCGUGCUGGGCCAGGGAUCGAACCUGCACCGCUGCAGCAACCCAAGCUGCUGUGGUUGGAUUCUUAAUCCACUGUGCUAUAGGGGGAACUCCUUGUCUAACUCUUUUUUUUUUUUUUUUAAUCAUGCUUUUAUCUCAAGAGAAGUUUCCAGAGAGUUUGGGAUAGAAAAACAUGGCCUUUUCAGCCUCUAUAGUGAGAAACAGCAACAUAGGAGAAGGUUGAAAAUAACUUGUAGAGUUGGAAAUUUGUUUGCUAUGCCUUGGCAGCAAACAACUUAGAAGAGGUUUGUUUGUUUUUUGUCUUGUUUUUUGUUUUGUUUUGUUUUUUGCUUUUUAGGGCCACAUCCUCAGCAUACAGAAGUUCCAAGCCUAGUGGUUGGAUCAGAGCUGCAGCUGCUGGCCUACACCACAGCCACAGCUAUGCAAGAUCUGAGCUGCAUCUGUGACCUCACCACAGUUCACGGCAACGCCGGAUCCUUAACCUACUGAGCGAGGCCAGCGGUGACAGCUCUGAUUAGACCCCUAGCCUGGGAACCUCCAUAUGCUGUGGGAGCAGCCCUAAAAAGACGAAAAAAAAAAAAAAAAAGAUUAAAAAGGACAUAUCUCUCUAUUCUAAAACACGCGUUCACACUGAGAUUCAUGCUUGGUUUGGUGUUUGGAAAUGCACAGUGCUAACUAUAAAUAUGUCUUAGGUCAGCCCUUGCCUUUCAGGAUACGCCCUUUUGUACAUCUUGAAUUUGGUACCAAGAGCUGGUAUGAAUGACUUAUGAGAAAAUCAAGAGGGAACAUCAAGAGAGAAGCAUCACCACCUCCCUUAUUACAGAGAAUAAGGGAAGUAAAUCAGUUCCCAUGCGUUGAUUUUAAGAGCACACCUCGGGAACAAAGGAAAAAUUCUGGAUGACACAUUAGAUCACAGACUAACAAUCAGAUUAUAUAGUACAAUCUUCGGAAACACAUAUGUGCUUUUGUUUUGUUUGAUGCAUCGUCAUGGCUCCCUACGUAUUAUCUGGGCAGCUGAAUCGUUAAAACACAAGGCAGCGAUCUCUUAAGAGAAUGUAUGGAGAGGUGCAGCAUAUUAAAAUCACUCAUCUUACUGGUAAUCAGAGAAAUUCACAUUAAACAGCAAUGAUAUAGUUCCUAGUCGCAAAAUGUUAAAGAAAUUAUACUAUCCAUGACUGGGGAUGUAGAGAAACUAGCAACUUAGAGUCUUUGCUAGUGGCUUUAUAAGUUGGUUUGACCCCUUUGCAAAGCAAGGGGUAAAUACAUAUCAAGAGCUACAAGAAAUAUUCCCUUUCCCUGAUCCUGUCAUUGCAUUUCUAGGAAUCUGGCCUAAAGAAAAAAUCUUAAAUAUAGAAAAAGAUGCUCACUGAGGAGUUCCCAUUAGAGCUCAGCAGUAACAAACCCAACUCGUAUCUCUGAGGACGUGGGUUUGAUCCUGGCCUCGCUUGGUGGCUUAAGGAUCCAGCGUUGCCAUGAGCUGUGGUGAAGGUCAAGGCUGCAGCUCAGAUCCUGCGUUACUGUGGCUGUGGUGUAGGCCAGCAGCUGUAGCUCCGAUUAGACCCCAAGCCAAGGAAUUUCCAUAUGCCACAGGUGCAGCCCUAAAAAGACAAAACAACAAAACAAAACAAAAAGAUGCUCAAUAGAAACCUAAUUUAGAAUAAAACAGAUAAAAUUUAAUUCUCCCUAACAGAAUAACAAUUCAAAUUUUGUAGUUUUGCGCGCACACACACACACACACACACACUCUCUCUCUCUCUGGCAGCUAUUGAAAAUUACAGUUAUAGAAACUAGAUCACUAGGUACCUACGAGACAAUGUUUCAUUUUUUAAAAAAAUCAAAACUUCAUGCUCAUUAUGAUCAAAGGCACAUAAAUUAAAGUAUACAUGAGAAGGACACACCACGAAUUUAAUGCUGACUGUAUUAUGUGGAGUAUUUUUAUUUUCUUCAUAACUUUCCAUUAGGGGUUUAAUAAUAGUAUUGUUACUUUUUUAAUGAAAAAUGUAUUUCUAAUAAAAAUACACAGCAAACCAUUUUGAAUCUCUUGGAAAAGAAGCUCUUCCAACAUAGUUUAGGAGUUUAUGAUUACAACAAAAGAGUCUUGGAAUUUUGACUGUGUGUUGGUUAGUCAAAAGACCUCAUUGGUUGAGAGGGGUAAUACUAACAUGAAUUACGGAUUAUCAAGGCAUCACGAGUCGGUGCAAUCCACCCAACUGAUGGACUCCAGGAGGACAGCUCACCGAAAUCUUCAUCCGCAUCGUCUGCCUCUUUUCAGUGUCCGCUGAGUCUCCUAAACCCAGCAGAUCCAUGGUGAGUCUCAAAGAAUAGAGUCUAAUAGGGUCUAAUAUUCUACUCAUGUUGGGGGUAGGCAGUGGGAAGGGGCAAGACUCUACUUCUCAGCAGAAUCCUUUCAGUCCCAUAAAGACAAGGGAUGAAACUGUCAUGAAUUUGCACCAGUUAAUCAGCACUUCAAGAAAGUGAACUAAAUGUAUGUAUUACAUGUAUGUACUGUGUGUUGUGUGUGUAGACAUAUAUACAAGUAGAUGAUAGCUAUAUAAACGCAUUUAUAUAUGCAGAGACAUAUAGACAGAAAUAUUGACAGGUACAUAUAGAGAUAGAUGAUUGAUACAAACAUAUGCAUAUAAUUGGAUGUUCAUGAUACACUCAGGUUUUCUGCUAAGAGCUUUCCAUGCAUUACCUCGAUCCUUUACGAGAAUUAACCUAUUGCCAUUUUACAGAUAAAAGACAUGAGAGGUCAAGACAUUGUCCAAGGUCAUUGCACAAGUAAGAGAACAUCACUUGACCAACAGAGCAGAGAGCCCAGAUAUGAUCAAGGCACAUCUUCUAGCGGAAAUGCAGCAGCGGCCGCCGCUGGACAUGCUAAAAUCAUCAACCACAAAGGGCGAAUUUUGCUCUCCAUGUUGGUGUUGAUAUCACCCCCCCCUGGGGACUCAGCAGCUCUGCAUCAAUGUGUCCCUGUUUCACAGAUGGGGUCCCUGAGUCCUGCGGCAGCCCCUAGUAGGCCUCAAUGCUGACAUACAUACCACUGAUCUUUAUGCUUCCACGUUGAAAACCACAGUUAACACCCCAUGCGUGCUUGCCUGCCGCACUUGAGAAGAAUACAUGUAAUUAGGAUUUCUUCUCUUUUUCUUUUUUGCUUCCACUAAUUCCAUUUGGGACUUCCUAAUACGUUUAAUGGAGAUUCCGGCUUUGGUGUUAGCUGAAGAAGGAUAUUGGGAACAUGUGGAAGUUUCAAGGGAUGGCCUUGUUUAAUUCUAGCACCAGAAAUUUUCCGUUUGGAACCAUGCUACCCUGCCUGGUGUGAACCAGAUGUGGCAAAAACAGGUCUUGUCUCUUAUUAAAAACAAGCCAAGACAGUCGUAUUCACACAUUUAUCUCAAUGAAUGCCUCUAGAAUUCAGCUGGCAUGCCAAAGAGGAGGCCUGGAGGGGCACUGCUUAAUAUUAUUCUACUGAAAAUGCUUGCGGGUUCAACAGAUAAACUGAUAAAAACAACAUAUUGGAUCCAUGCUACUCAUGCAAACAGGAAGAACAUUAUUAGGGACAAAAUUCCUUGCAGCACGAAUUGUACAACUUUUUGCUCACGCCCGUGUGCAUUCACGCAGGUGGGUCAGCUGCCUGUACAACAAACACUUCACGCUCUGAAAGGGCCAAGCGGGUUCCUGAGCCACUGCUAACGCACAUGCCCACAUCCCACACCUAGACACCGCUAAGGCGCAUGCCACGUCCACACCCAGACACCGCUAAGGCGCAUGCCCACAUCCACACCCAGACACCGCUAAGGCGCAUGCCACGUCCACACCCAGACACCGCUGACGCGCAUGCCCACAUCCACACUCAGACACUGCUAAUGCGCAUGCCCACAUCCACACCCAGGUGGUACCCAUCUGCUUUGCAGGGGUGGGGGGCGGAGGGAGGGGGAGGGGAGUCACGGCAAAUCAGGUCCUCCCUCUGCCCCUUAUUUCGCCGCUAUCGCCCCCUUAACAAGAACUCCAUCCUAGAUGCCUCUGUUAACAUUUAAAUGAUUUACUAUCACAUUCCCUCAGUUCUAAGAGAGCAGGGAGACUGCAGGCAUCAGCGACUGUAGCAGCUGCCUCCAUUUCUGCAAAGUUCCGAAUAGGGGAACUGCAGGCAUAUUCAAAGAAAGGAAAUACGGUAGCCGGUUCAGACCUCUCUGGCAGCAUUUUUGUUCUCCGACAUACCUCUGAAAGUGGGACAUUCAAUAAAACAACACUUGUUUCUAGAUUCAAACGAAUUCUAUAAAAAAAAAAAAAAAAGAAUCCCCCAAAUGAAUAGAGAGAACGCUAGCCUCAUAACACAGAGGUGAAAAUGACUGAAGCAGAGACGGUUCCGCCAACCCAUUAAUCCAGCAAAGCUUUGUGUGAAGACGUGGAUAUGUCAGAGCAGGUUACCUCAAGAGGGCUUUCUUUUGAACUUGAACUGCCAAAAUUCCAGGCAGACACCAAAGAGCUUCAGUUUAAGUGGGCAAAGGUGAACCGUCAGAAGGAAAGUAGAAAGAACAGAAGACCAGGCUGGUUAUCAAAGAAGAGUUUCCAAGGGAAGAAAAAAAAAUAAAGUGAAACGGGGAAAGUUUUCAGAAAGUCAACAUUCAAGGAAAGCUGCAUUUAAAAAUAUAAAUCACUCACAGGCCUGUAUGUAGGAGAAAGAGCGAACGUUUCUGCUUGCAAGCACCCUAGGACGCCUUCAGGAGAUAAAGAAGCACAAACAGGACCUGGAUCAGAGAUUAUACACAGGAGUGAGUAGCUGGCUAAGCGGGAAGAGGACAAAAUAUAAGCCAAGGUUAGAAGAGUCCAGUUACCAUUUGAAUAUAUUGGAUACUUGUUUUCUGCUCACUCCAGAGUUGGAAACUAUAGUUCAUCAACAUCUCUAACAGAGGCUUAGCAGGAACAAAGACAAAGCCACACAACAGGUAGUGGUCCUGACUACGGCGGCCUCUGGGAUGAAAAGAUGGUGCUGAUGCGGUUGGAGAAGAUGGAAGCCAGCAAUUAGAAUCUGUUCUUCCAACAAGUGUGAUCACUUGUGACUAUCUCCUUUCAGGGACCCACAGAGGUGAUACACACACGGAAGGUAUCA